rnacentral:rRNA from 1 species
GACGAACGCUGGCGGCGUGCCUAAUACAUGCAAGUUGAGCGCUGAAGGUUGGUACUUGUACCAACUGGAUGAGCAGCGAACGGGUGAGUAACGCGUGGGGAAUCUGCCUUUGAGCGGGGGACAACAUUUGGAAACGAAUGCUAAUACCGCAUAAAAACUUUAAACACAAGUUUUAAGUUUGAAAGAUGCAAUUGCAUCACUCAAAGAUGAUCCCGCGUUGUAUUAGCUAGUUGGUGAGGUAAAGGCUCACCAAGGCGAUGAUACAUAGCCGACCUGAGAGGGUGAUCGGCCACAUUGGGACCGAGACACGGCCCAAACUCCUACGGGAGGCAGCAGUAGGGAAUCUUCGGCAAUGGACGAAAGUCUGACCGAGCAACGCCGCGUGAGUGAAGAAGGGUUUCGGAUCGUAAAACUCUGUUGGUAGAGAAGAACGUUGGUGAGAGUGGAAAGCUCAUCAAGUGACGGUAACUACACAGAAAGGGACGGCUAACUACGUG